rnacentral:rRNA from 1 species
UACGAAGGGGGCUAGCGUUGCUCGGAAUUACUGGGCGUAAAGCGCACGUAGGCGGAUCUUUAAGUCAGGGGUGAAAUCCUGGAGCUCAACUCCAGAACUGCCUUUGAUACUGAGGACCUUGAGUUCGGGAGAGGUGAGUGGAACUGCGAGUGUAGAGGUGAAAUUCGUAGAUAUUCGCAAGAACACCAGUGGCGAAGGCGGCUCACUGGCCCGAUACUGACGCUGAGGUGACGAAAGCGGUGGGAGCAAACAGG